AGGCAACAAAGUUUCAUUGUCUUUUGAUGCAAGCCCACACAUUCCAGGCACAGAUGUGCACAGUGGGGCAACUACUGAAAAGCAGACAAGAAGCCACUCUGUCACCAGCAUUGGGCCUGGCGCCAGGCGUCUUCCUUUCUUCGAACCCAUGACGGGGCUGAGGCCCUCAGAAGUGAGUCAUGGAGGAACGCAGGCAUCUGCCCACGGAGGGAGACCCAUUUACUCAGGGAAAAUAUCUGCAGGCAGUCUUUGUGCUUUGCUGUGCCAGAAGCUGUUAAGCCUGAUUCACACCACUGCCACUGUGGGACUGAACCCCCGCUGACGACAAAAAGAGCACAGGGAAGAAGCGAAAAUAGCUUAUUUUCAAUGACUUGCUGAAAACUCCCAGAUGUGAGCUGCGAUGGCCGUGUGGUGCACACAUUUGGGCUCUGAGUAUGGAUGUUCUCUCUAAAUAUCCCCCUGCUGCUCAGCAAAUUGAGAGGAAUAUGAUAACAUGAUCAGUGCAAGACUUUCAAGUAUAAAAGUACACUACUUAGAAUAAACUGUGGAGGAAGUGGAAUGGAAAUACACAUUUAAGGAGAAAAAGGAACUAUGUAAAUUUUCAACUAUUAAGGAAGAUCUUAUUCAUGUAUUUCUUAAUGGGUAGAUGGUAGUAUCAAAUCACUAUGGAAUUUAGAUUUCAUUAAAUCUAUUUAAAAGAGUGAUGAGACAGUUUUAUUUUUAAAUGACUGUAAUUUCAAUACUCUUGCAGCUAUAUCCUUGGCAACUAUUUAAACAUGCAAUAAAAACAUGUCAACUUAAAAAGGUACAUAGUUUUCCGGGAUGAUUUUAGAAGAUACAAAAGCAAACCCUUGAAGACUACCAUACUUAAUACAGUGAAUUCUCUUGGGUGAUUAUAACAGGGCAGAUCAAAUGGUAGAUGUUCAAGGGGAUCCCAUUUGCUGAUGAACUACUCUGUGUGCAGGAG
rnacentral:lncRNA from 1 species